CUUACGCGUGAUGGCACAGCACUUGAGCACACAUGUGUGCACUGUGGGAAUCCCCAUGAGCCCUUCAACCUGGAACAAGGACCAGUCUCCAAACUUAUGGCAACUUUAUUCUCAGGGUAUGUCGGAGGGAGGAAGGAAAAGGGCUUUAAUCAUGAUAGAGGCGCAGAAGGCAGCCACGGAGGGUGCCCAUGUAGCGGUCCCAGAGUGCCUGGUGCCUGCAAUGAAGAAGAUAACGGUGAGAGCUGAUGUCCACUCACCGCCAUGCCUGCCACACCACCGCUCAGUGUUUUCUACACUUUCUUCCUCACCACAGCCCCUCCUUUUUUUUUUUUUUUUUGGAUAGUUUGUUUUUGAGACAGGGUCUCACAGUGUGGCUCAAGCUGGCCUGGAAAACAGCGGCAAUCCUCAUGUCCCAGCUUCCGAUGUGCUGGGAAUACAAACUUGAGCCAUUCUGCCCGGCUUCCUUCUCCCUGCUCUCCACCCAGUGCUGAGGGCCGAUCUGAGGACUAUUUAGUUUCCAUAAACCUUAUGAGUCUUCUAGCUUUAGUCUCAGUUUACAUUUAAGAGAGCUAAGGCACAGAAGGGUUAAGAACUUGGCCAAGGUCACAACAAGGAGAGGCGGAGCUUCCACCCACAGGGCAGUUCAACAGAGAAGCCUGAGUCUCCUGGAGGGCAAGGAAGUUAGCCAGCAGGCCUGGCACCUCUCACCGGAAGCCAUCCAGGGAGUGGACUGACGCUGAAUACUGGCUGAGGAAGAGCCGCACAUCACUCAGUGGCCAGUGGUCAGAGCGGCAGGGUUCCACAAACUGUAGGUCCAAGGGAACAGGUGGCACCACUAGGACUGCUUAGACACAGGACAGGCUGGGGACCAGGGGUGGGGACAGGACAGGCUGGGGACCAGGGGGUGGGGACAGGACUGCUCACCUUCUCCACGAGGUCCACAAAUAGGUCUCUGACAUCCUUAUUGUGGGUCAGCUUGGCAGCCACGUUCACCAGCCCCCGAGACAGAUUCUGUGGGGCAAGGAUCUCGGGAGUUCUGUCUUCUGCUCCAGAUGCGGAGGCUGCGCACUGAGGCGGAAGGAGGGCCAGGCCCCUCCCCAAGUUCAUCCACCUCCCUCAGACAAUCAAGUCCCUUUUGUUAUGAGCUUGGGACCCCCUCAAGGGCAGACAGGGAGAGCAGCAGUGCCACCUGCUGGUCACCUUCAGGAAUGAGCAGAGCUGCCUGGCAGGGGUAGCGCACAGGAGGCUCUUGACACUUUAGGGGGAAGGGUCUGCACAGGGCAACGGACCUUGAAGUUGGUUUCCAUCUCAGAGAAGACACCCAGCUUUCCCCGGAGGGCAGUGCACACCAGGCUGUAGGAAGAUGCAGUUAUGUCUCUAGCCGACUAAGAGUAUUUUAUCCCUGGUCUCACGGACCCCACAGUCACCUCUUAUGCAGGUCCAGGAGGUCCUUGUCAGCCACGAGAACCUUGAGCUCCUUCAAGUCUUGGAGAAACUCCUUAUCUAAGUCCACAUCCAUGUCGUCCACCUGAGAGUCUGCGAAGGCCAUGAAAGACGUUGUGGGUGCAUGAAAGACCAUCUUGGGAGGUGAACCCUCUUCACCACUACCUCACUGGAGUCUCAGAGAUGGAAAGAGGAAUGUCAUGCCCCAGGCCACGCAGUGGUGAACCCUUGGCCUGCAGGCAGGUGUGCGUGGAGCCAGGGGACUAUCCGUAGAGGUGGUCUGGGGCUGAGGGCGCUGUGGAAGCUAUCUAUACGCUAGGACAAACUGACAGCAGGGAACCAGUCCCCAAGGGGGUAGGGAGUCCAGGCACCUGGGUCAGUGGGGGCCUCACCGACGGCUCCAAGGGUCCAGUUCUGGAUCAUAAGCUCUGCACAGAAGGCAAAGUCCCCAAAGCUCAGGUACUGCAGCUUUUUCUUUCCUGUUUCAAAGCGGUUGUUGGCAAAAAAGACGAUGGCUGCGUAAUCCCUGGCUAACCGGUCAGAGAGGAGGAAGUGCUGCUGGAUGUUGUCCACCAGGGAGCCCCGCAUUUCUUCCACCACCUUGAAGACUCGUUUAAAGUUGUCAAACUGUCCGGCAAUUACAGAACACUGGUCAGGAGACGUUCAUGAGCGAGCUGCUAUGGGAUCUCUCCCUCCUGUCCUCCUAUCUGGUGGGCAGGUACUAAUUUAGCACUAACACUUCAACAAAUGACUAGGUUUUUGUUGUUUGUUUCGAGACAGGGUUUCUCUGUGUAGCCCUGGCUGUCCUGGAACUCACUCUGUAGACCAGGCUGGCCUCGAACUCAGAAAUCCACCUGCCUCUGCCUCCUGAGUGCUGGGAUUAAAAGCAUGCGCCAGCACCCCUGGCAUGACUAGGUAUUAAUAACUACCAUCAUUUGACAAUGUUUGCCAGCCUUUGGCAUUUUUCCUUAAAAGAAUGCUUACUUAUUCCUGUCCUUAAGUUCAAUUUAGCAUCACGACCGUCAAUCUCUGGCUCUUCAAGAGCCUGAAUUAGAACGGAUUCUCCUGAGUAACUUGGAGUGAACCAAGCAGCAUACACACACGAACUCAUUCUAGACACAAAGGAAAGGCACUCAAGGCCUAUAAAGGUUGUAGCAAGAGCCCAGACCCAUACCCAUAGCCAUCUGCGCCCAGUUUACACCCUGGUACUUCUCCCUUAAAGACAAGGCAUGAAUGCUACCAAAACGGCUCAUGGAUAAGGUAGGAUCUAGCUCCCUUGUCGAUUUCAAGGGAUAGAUGUGGCCAAGAACAGCAUCUUCUAGGCAGGAGUACCAUGAACAAAAACAAACUUGGGGCUCAAGAAAUGUUAAGUCCAGAGAGGUCUAUAGUGACCCAACCUGAGUCUGAAGGUCGAGGACAGUGGGAGCCAAUGAAAAUCUAUAAGCAAAGGAAAGCCACGGUCAGACUGAGCCUAAGCCUGGUCCGCCUGGCCAGAGGGGAGGUGGAGGGAGGAGAGGGUUUAUAUGAAGAAGGAACUGGUUCCACAAUCAUGGGCUAGACCACGGGCUAGAGGUGGGGCUAGAGUAGUAAGAAGGAUCCAGAGGUGGGCUAGACAGGUAGUGGUGUUAUGUGUAGAACCCACCUGCCUCCGGCAGCUCUUGAGAGUAAUUCCUGUUUUGGUGCUGAUGUCAUCCAGGUCUUUCUUGGUACCCUUGGACAGCUUCUUGCCCAAGACCUCCCGAACAAAGGCCUCAUCAAAGGUGUAGUACCUUGUGGAGGCACAGGUCAUUAUUGGUGAUCCAUUAGGGAAGGAGAAGGGAGUUUGGAAUUGGUUUCUCUUGUUCUCAAUUUUCUAAUUUCCUGAGUUCACCCCAUCUACCCCUGUGUAUAUCCCAAUACCCUCCCCCCAGACUCAGCUUCAGUCUACAAAAUGGGUAUAAGUCAGAUUGACUGACAUCCCUGCCAGUACCCACCCCCGUCCCCCACCCCUGGUGAGCACCUCUCGAUGAGGAGUGUCUGUCGGGAGGGAGGAAUCUGGAAGAUGAGCUGGUGCAGCAGCUUCGGCGGCGCGUGCAGCAGACGCUCAAGCAUGUGAAAGGUGCGGUAGUGGUCCAUGGUGUCGCUCUGCAGCACUCCUGUGGUGGCUCCCGUCUGCUCCAAGAUUCCGGAGCGUACUCGCAGAGCCACUGCAUCGUUCACUGAGGA
rnacentral:lncRNA from 1 species